GUCGAGCGAAUGGAUUAAGAGCUUGCUCUUAUGAAGUUAGCGGCGGACGGCUGNGUAACACGUGUNUAACCUGCCCAUAAGACUGGGAUAACUCCGGGAAACCGGGGCUAAUACCGGAUAACAUUUUGAACUGCAUGGUUCGAAAUUGAAAGGCGGCUUCGGCUGUCACUUAUGGAUGGACCCGCGUCGCAUUAGCUAGUUGGUGAGGUAACGGCUCACCAAGGCAACGAUGCGUAGCCGACCUGAGCGGGUGCCCGCCCUAACUGUCCCUGACCCGGGUCCAACUNNNNNACGGGAGGCAGCAGUAGGGAAUCUUCCGCAAUGGACGAAAGUCUGACGGAGCAACGCCGCGUGAGUGAUGAAGGCUUUCGGGUCGUAAAACUCUGUUGUUAGGGAAGAACAAGUGCUAGUUGAAUAAGCUGGCACCUUGACGGUACCUAACCAGAAAGCCACGGCUAACUACGUGCCAGCAGCCGCGGUAAUACGUAGGUGGCAAGCGUUAUCCGGAAUUAUUGGGCGUAAAGCGCGCGCAGGUGGUUUCUUAAGUCUGAUGUGAAAGCCCACGGCUCAACCGUGGAGGGUCAUUGGAAACUGGGAGACUUGAGUGCAGAAGAGGAAAGUGGAAUUCCAUGUGUAGCGGUGAAAUGCGUAGAGAUAUGGAGGAACNNCAGUGGCGAAGGCGACUUUCUGGUCUGUAACUGACACUGAGGCGCGAAAGCGUGGGGAGCAACAGGAUUAGAUACCCUGGUAGUCCACGCCGUAAACGAUGAGUGCUAAGUGUUAGAGGGNUUCNCCCUUUANNGCUGAAGUAACGCAUUAAGCNCUCNCUGGGGAGUANGCCGCAAGNUGAAANNNNNAANGAAUUGACGGGGCCC
rnacentral:rRNA from 1 species